AUUGAACGCUGGCGGCAUGCUUUACACAUGCAAGUCGAACGGCAGCGCGGGCUUCGGCCUGGCGGCGAGUGGCGAACGGGUGAGUAAUGCAUCGGAACGUGCCCAGUAGUGGGGGAUAGCCCGGCGAAAGCCGGAUUAAUACCGCAUACGACCUGAGGUGAAAGCGGGGGACCGAAAGGCCUCGCGCUAUUGGAGCGGCCGAUGUCGGAUUAGCUAGUUGGUGGGGUAAAGGCUUACCAAGGCGACGAUCCGUAGCUGGUCUGAGAGGACGACCAGCCACACUGGGACUGAGACACGGCCCAGACUCCUACGGGAGGCAGCAGUGGGGAAUUUUGGACAAUGGGGGCAACCCUGAUCCAGCCAUGCCGCGUGCGGGAAGAAGGCCUUCGGGUUGUAAACCGCUUUUGUUCGGGAAGAAAUCCUCUGGGCUAAUACCCCGGGGGGAUGACGGUACCGGAAGAAUAAGCACCGGCGAACUACGU
rnacentral:rRNA from 1 species